rnacentral:rRNA from 1 species
UCAAGUCAUCAUGCCCCAUAUGUCCUGGGCUACACACGUACUACAAUGGGCUUUUAACAAAGAGAAGCGAAGCCGCGAGGCGGAGCAAACCUCAUAAAGGAGCUCUCAGUUCGGAUUGGAGGCUGCAACUCGCCUCCAUGAAGCAGGAAUCGCUAGUAAUCGCAGAUCAGCAUGCUGCGGUGAAUACGUUCCCGGGCCUU